rnacentral:tRNA from 1 species
GUUUCGAUAGCUCAGUUGGUAGAGCGAAUGGCUGUUAACCAUUAGGUCGUAGGUUCAAGCCCUACUCGGAACG